GGACUAGACGUCCCCACCCAAAUUUUAUGUUGAAUUAGAAUUCUAGAGUUAGAGGAAGGGCCUGGUGGGAGAUGACUAAAUCAUGGGGAUGGACUUUCCCCUUGCUGUUCUCACAAUAGUGAAUUUCCACAAGAUCUGGUUGUUAUAAAGUAUGGAGACUAUGCCCCAUAAAGCACUGUUGAAAACAAUUUUAAAACAGGCUGGGCAUGGCGUGUAAUCCCAGCACUUUGGGAGGCCAAGGUGAGUGGAUCUCUUGAGGCCAGGAGUUUGAGACCAGCCGGGCCAACACAGUGAAACCCCAUCUCUACUAAAAAUAGAAAAACUUAGCUAAGUGUGCUGGCGGGCACCUGUAAUCCCAGCCACUUAGUUGGCUGAGACAGGAGAAUCGUUUGAGCCAAGGAGGCUAGGUCGCAGUGAGCUGAGAUCAUGCCACUGCACUGCAGCCUUGCUGACAGAGAGACUCUUCUCAAAAAAGUAAAUUGAAAAAACUUAGAAAGAAACUUAGAAAGAAGGAUGAUAUCCAGACAACAACAGCACACAGGAAGGAGUCUUUACAGCACAGAAGCUGUCUACCCCUCCUUGAGCAUCUAAACCUGCCCUGGCUCAACACAGCAUGCCUGUGUGCCUUACCCCAGGUAGUGAUCCAUAAGCCCGUGGGGUAGGGGAUUUUCCAGAGAGACUCUGUGACUCCCCUGAGACCACCCCGCCAGCUGUGCACCAUGCAGAACAAAAAUACAAGAGACAUGCUGAUAGCAAGCUGUCAGCCCUCCACCUUCCUUCUGGAUGCUGGGCUGCUUUCUGUUUCUCUGUUUCCCACAGCAACCAGAAAGAUCACUAUGAUCGCCCAUAUUAAAGAUGAGGCAACAGAGUCAGAGAUGAAGAGGAGUGCAGAUGUGAGCCCAAGCCCUGCCUGCUCUCCCAGUAAUCCUGCCCCUGCUUCCUGCCCUGCUCCCGCCACCUGCCAAAGCUGCCACCCAUGCCCACGCAAGGCCUUGAGAUGCAAACAUGAAAAGUCUCAGCAGCUCCAAAGGCAGGAGCACAGGUCGGGGAUUGUCAGCACAGAAGUGGCUAUGUCCGGCGCGGCCAAGUCGCAGAAGCAAAGGCUCUGCACAGCAUGGGUGCCUGGAGGAGACGUGCUGGCCCAUAGAACGAUUGGUCAGGUCACCCUGUCCCAGCGGGACAGUGGACUGGCUCCAUGCCUUACCCUGGGCCCUGGCCAGCAACCAUCCUGGACUCAGCCAGAUGCCUCCAAUAUCUCGUUCCUCUGGAAGACACCAGUGAGGACGCUGAUUUUCAGUGAACUGUGUUCUCAGGGCCCUGAGCCUGGCCACUCGAGGGGCACACAAGGACGUGCUACAGAAGCAAACCUGCACCGGUGACAUCUCAGAAUCGUGGGCCCCUGUGCUGCUCAGAGACAGCUGAGCCCCUGAAAGGUCUAGAAGAGAAAGACUGCAAUUCUUCCCAAAGCGAUGGUACAGUCAGAGGGGUGGGGCCGGAGCCCGGCAGCAUCCCUGUGAUGGCUAGGACAGCGAAGCUGGGCCCACGGCCCCAUUGCCUCUGGGUCACCUUCACCCAGGUAGUCCCAGGUUUCCCCUGACGCCGGGGUUGCAGUGCCUGGCGGGGACUUGGUCUCAGUCAGGAACUGGGUCACAGGGCAGAGCUCAACAUGGAGCUCAGGACAGUGUUCAGGGCUGGCAGCAUCCCCAUGCAAACCCUGCAGGUGCCCUGCCCCCUAGGUCAGCAGUCCUGGGGCCGCCCUUUCUCCCUGGGUUUGGGGGUGAACAGUCCCCACAACACACGGGGUGAAAUUUUAGAACGUGAAAAAAUAUGAUAAAUGAACACCCGAACAUGCGAAUGCCAGGUGACAAAUGGGAGGAGACUGGAAAUGAAUUCAGCAGCCCCGGCUCAGGCCCAGCUGUGCCUCGGAGGCCUCAGGUGCCUUUGUCCCUCCGAGGCCCAUCCAUCUCUGCCACACCUUCAGGAGCCAGCGCCCUCAGGGAAGAAACCUGCAUCGCAUCCACGCCUGGCUUCCCAUGAAUGAGACGUCCCCAUUCCUUUGCAUGUAAAAACACACAUCUAUCUAACAGCAAAUUACAUGUUGGCUUCCGCAGACCCCACGCCACCUCUUUCUCCGGGCCAGGGUCCCUGCCGGCACUCACAGGGGAAGGGUCUGUUUCUUUCACAGUCAGCUCUGCUUCCCUGGGCGGCUGCCAUCUGAACCCGGCACUGGGAGCUGUUCAGUGCCAGUUGUGGAAUGAACUGAUCAAUGGAUCAAUCAGUUUGGCACUACUCAGUCCCUGAUGGGACAGGGAAGGGGCUGAGUGGGAGACGGGAGGCUGGAUUCCCCAUGCAGGGCCUUGGUGAGGGUCACGGGCUGGG
rnacentral:lncRNA from 13 species